AAGUCGUAACAAGGUUUCCGUAGGUGAACCUGCGGAAGGAUCAUUAAUGAAUUAUAAGGGUGCCCUCUUCAUCAGGGGGGCCCGAACUCUUCAUUUCUUCUACACUGUGCACCAUUUCAUUUUAGCAUUUGAUGGAAGGAGCCUACAAAUGUGUUAGGUUCCGGAAGUCGAGUGCUAGAACAUUUUUAAACUCUAUACAAAGUCUAAGAAUGAUUACAAACCAAAAUAUAUAAAAACUUUCAACAACGGAUCUCUUGGCUCUC
rnacentral:misc_RNA from 1 species